ensembl:lncRNA
UGCGAAAUCAUUGCAUUUUUAUUUUUUUUAUUUUUAGGUAGAUUUUUUUUUUAAAGACGUCUGAAACAUUUGUGGUGGCAUCAUUGCUGCUAUAGCCUCUAAAAGACCUUGAAUAACCAAAGUGCUAGAAUAGUUACAGUUCAAUGGCUUCACUCUGUUAGUAAGAAUCAAACAUCAAAAAAUCUGCUCAGGUGAAAACACAUAUCAAACAAAAUUGACAAAAAAUUGAUAGUUCAACCAUAUCAAAGGAUCCUCUACCCCCUGAUUGACAUAGUAAGUAUAAGGGGAUGUGGUACAGCACCCUACCUGGCUUCCUUUAAACCCCCCUUCCCCCCAAUAAAGAAAAUAAAAGUUACAUAGUUUUCAUGUCCACAGCAUAGACAUCAGCAUACUGAGCCAUCGCACCAGUAGAACACCACACUUGAACUACAUGGGCAUCUAAUGAAAACCAAUACAAAGAUAAUUCCUAAUGUAAUGUAAAAGUAAAAUUUCGUCAGUGAGCUAGUGAAAACAAAUCUAUUCGACACUGCAUAUACAGACUCUCAAGCCUAAAGAGAUCACACAGUUUCAGAGUAAAACACAAUUUAUUUAAUGCUUAAAUAAUUGUUUUUGACCAUCCAGUGUUUUGUCAUACAAUAUGCUAUUUAGAGCUACAAUCAAAUAAUGUCUUUAUGUGUCCUUAAUGUGAGUAAGUUUUUAAAUUAAGGAAAUACUUCACCAAAAUAUCCAAAGUGAAAUGCCCCAGUUUUCCUUUAAUACCACAGCAGCCGUUAGAAAACCAAAUUGGAACACUGCUAAAAUGAUUACAAACAGUCUAACAGUGUACAGAGACUCCUACACCUUAUAGCCAAUACGUACAAUACAAUUAUAAUUUUACAGCGAGCCAGCCUACUAGCAUUUACAUUCAGAUUAACUCGUUCCUGUAGCAGAAGCUGCCCUCCAGUUUAACACAGACAGACAAGACAUCACAUCCUCAAGAAGCUAUAGAACUUUUUUCAUCCUCACCCCCAACAUGAUAAAUGCUUUUAUGGUAUCCUUUUUCAAUUUAAAAUAUAAAAUCGGUGACAAAUGUUAGGGCUAUAUGUGUACAGAGAUAAAGGGUUUUUUUAUUUGUCACUUGAAUACAGUGUUUGCAAACUUGUAAAAAUUGUACUUAAAAUAAUGUGAAGAGCAUGCAUGAAAAUAUGAGUACUCUGAAAGGCUGCUUUUUUUUGCAGGAUUAGAUCCAUUCCCACUUUGGGAAUUACUGAAAUUUGAUUUUUCUGGAAAUUUCCUCUGUUAAAAUCAAACCAGCAUUUUCAUGUACAAACAUUAUACCUGCUCUAAUAAUUAAUUAUACAAGAACCUGUGAAGAUACACUCAAAUCUUUAAACUCAGUAAAUUUUCGAAAGCACUUGAAAAGGUCACUCUCCUCAGUGCGCUAUCAACCAGUAACUUACCCCUCCCCCCCUUUUUUAAAGAAUUAUACACAUUGUAAUUUUAUAUACAGAAAAAAGCUUUUGUGUUAGUUUAAGUUUUAAAAAGGAAGGAAAAAAAAUCCCAAACAAUUUACAUCCUGACAACAAUGGGUUCAAGAAAAAACUAUAAGGCGAGUGUUGAAGUUGGAUCAGAAGUGUUCCAUUAGAUUUUUUUUGUGUGUUAUUGUGUUGACUUCAUUCUUUCCACCCACCGUGGUGAUUGAGCUCUUGUGCCAUCUUUGGUCACAGUUGCAUCUGUGUGGUUUGUCAGUAACGGAGUCUUUGUUUGUUUUUCACAACAAAACGAUGCUCCUUCAGAAAGCUCUCACGACACCAGUGGACCGAUGGCACGUAUCGUUUCACACAAAACAGGAAGCAGAAUCAUUGUCCACUGGUCGACCACAGUCAGAAAGUGAGAACCUCCCGGUCUUUCUUUGAUUGACAGGGAGUGAGUUUUUCAUGCUCAUGCGUAAGUCAGAAGGGUUGACUCCUCUCAAAACCAUUUAUUUGAAGCAGAUAGUUGCAGACUGGACCUUUGCCUUAAGUCUUCACACUGGAACUCUCCAGCCUUCUGAACACUUGUUCCCAGGAAACAGCAAACCCGGCUCCUCUACAUCUGCAAGACACAGAACAGCACAUCACACAUUGCAGCACAUUUAC